CGUGUAGGCGGCUGGAUAAGUCAGAUGUGAAAGCCCUGGGCUUAACCCAGGAAGUGCAUUUGAAACUGUUCAGCUUGAGUAAGGGAGAGGAAAGUGGAAUCCCUGGUGUAGAGGUGAAAUUCGUAGAUAUCAGGAGGAACACCGGUGGCGAAGGCGACUUUCUGGCCCUAUACUGACGCUGAGACGCGAGAGCGUGGGUAGCAAACA
rnacentral:rRNA from 1 species